CAAAAACUCUCUGUCCUCUCUCCCAUUUCCUGACCAGGUCCUCUGAGCUGCCGACGAAGUCUCUCGGCAGCAACUGCAACAGCCGCGAGUACUGGCUCGUCGGCGGAGCAAUUUCCAACUCGGCGGCGAAGUCGAGAUCCAUGAAGCACCCGAUCUGCCAUGUGGACGAGCUCGAUUGUGCCCUGACGAUGUCCAUGAACUCAUAGCUCUCGGUGGUGAUGUUGCCGGAGGAGCUUUCUUUAUUUCAUUAUGUUGGAUUUGGUGACAACGGUUUAAUGAAUCUGUGUUCCUCGUUUUUCCUUUGGUUUUUUUUUUUCGAUUCUUUUGUGUGGUCUCUUUUUUUGUUGGUUGUGGUUGCAAUAUUUUAAUUUAUAAAAUCAAGUGUUGUGGAUGCCUUAUCC
rnacentral:lncRNA from 1 species